rnacentral:rRNA from 1 species
GAUGAACGCUGGCGGCGUGCCUAAUACAUGCAAGUAGAACGCUGAAGGAAGGAGCUUGCUCUUUCCGGAUGAGUUGCGAACGGGUGAGUAACGCGUAGGUAACCUGCCUGGUAGCGGGGGAUAACUAUUGGAAACGAUAGCUAAUACCGCAUAACAGUAGAUGUUGCAUGAUAUCUACUUAAAAGGUGCAAUUGCACCACUACCAGAUGGACCUGCGUUGUAUUAGCUAGUUGGUGAGGUAACGGCUCACCAAGGCGACGAUACAUAGCCGACCUGAGAGGGUGAUCGGCCACACUGGGACUGGGACACGGCCCAGACUCCUACGGGAGGCAGCAGUAGGGGAUCUUCGGCAAUGGAAGGAAGUCUGACCGAGCACCGCCGCGGGAGUGAAGAAGGUUUUCGGAUCGUAAAGCUCUGUUGUAGGAGAAGAACGAGUGUGAGGGUGGAAAGUUCACACUGUGACGGUAUCUUACGAGAAAGGAACGGCUAACUACGUG